AUGAAGUCGGAAUCGCUAGUAAUCGUGGAUCAGAAUGCCACGGUGAAUACGUUCCCGGGCCUUGUACACACCGCCCGUCACACCAUGGGAGUGGGUUGCAAAAGAAGUAGGUAGCUUAACCUUCGGGAGGGCGCUUACCACUUUGUGAUUCAUGACUGGGGUGAAGUCGUAACAAGGUAACCGUAGGGGAACCUGCGGUUGGAUCACCUCCUUACCUKAAAGAAGC
rnacentral:rRNA from 1 species